UUAGAGGUGUGCUAAAGCACCACUCUAUUUAUCAUACAUGUGGGCUUGGGCUAGCCAAGCUCAGCCGGACCACAUUCGCACAAAACAUAUUUUGAGUGAGACUACGAGCACCCUUCCAAAAUCCUUAUAAACCCAUCAACUAGAUGCACCCAUGUAAAAUAUACAAUGAUUACUUCUGAUUUCUAGGCACAUUCAUUUUUAAUUCCAUAACUAACCUUUUACCAUUUUUUUCCCCUCAUUUUGAAUAAUGAAACGAGACUCUUUACACAAAAUAUUUCCAUAAUUAAUUAUAAAUAAUUAUUACAUAUUUGAUUAGUAGUCUCAAAAACAGGUGAAAUAAGUUCGCAUCGUUUUUUUGAUUUUUAUUUAACUAUAUUUCUUUCCUUUUAUUUGUGAUCAGUUUUAAAUCAAAAUAUAUAAGAUUGUAAGUUUCUUAACGUCAAACGAGAAAAAUAAAAUUAUGUAUUAUUUUAAAUUAAUGAAUAUUGGAAUUUUACUCAAAAAAUGAAUAUAAGGGCGUAAUUAAGGAUGACAAAACUUGGGUCCGUGCCAGGCGCAAAUAUAUUUUUUUAGGCACCCGAGUCAGGAUUAAAAAGCUAAGCUUCCAGAUUUUUUAAUCCGAGUUUAUGAUCAGAUUUUAUAUUUUAUAAUAUUAUAUAUAUACAUCUUUAAUUUUUUUUAAUGAAAUUGGACAUGAAACUAUGAACUUUAAAUGUUCUGCUGUACCGUACAUCCGCCUUGGCCGUACAGCAGCCCCAGAUGAGUCAAAAAAUAUAAUUAUUUAAAAUAGUAUAUGAUUUAUAAUUUUUUUAAUAAAAUUCAAGUUUCAGACUAGACAUAGACUUAUCAAGUGAUGCUCAAGGCCAUCCUGGCAUCAUCCCUAGAUCGAAUACAUCGCUCGGGUUCGGUUCGAACACAUGUUGGCGGAUAUUUUUGACACCCCUAGGUGUAAUUAAAUACUAGGGCUAUAACUGUAAUUUUGAAUGAAAGGAGAUUGUUCAGGACUUGUAAGUGCCAACAAUUCGACUAAUUUAUCUGAUAAAAAAUAAAAAAUAAAUAAAAACAAAAGCAGCUAGGGCUAGAAGGAUAUAUAUAUAUAUAUUUGGCAAGUUCAUGUUUGACACGUCGUUAGCAAGUCCAUAAAUAAUCUCUUGUUAGUUAACGUCAUACACAAUCAAAGUGUGCCAAUAGUUUUGAUUGGAACACCAAAGUAGAUAUUAUUAAUAAAAUUAAUUAAUAUUUAUGUAGAAAACAUCAUCUUAUGUCUUCUAACUUAAAAAACUAAAAGUAUUUCUCGGAUAUAGAUAGUAAUUUUCUCAUAUGAAAUUUUAAACUGUGAAAAAAUCUAAAAAAAAUUUAAAACCAUAUGAUUUUAAAGAAUUAUAAAAUUAACCAAACAGUUGUGGCUCAGUUGGCAGCGCAGGCUGAGUAAGUGAGAAGAGCUCUCGGGUUCGAUCCCCACUAAACACACCAUUUGAGAGGGAUAAAGAGCUUUAAGUCUUUAACUGUGACUACACUCCGAAUCCGGAUUAACCGAAUCCGGAUUAGUCAGGGUCUAAUGCGGUUGCCGGAAAUCGGGUGGUUUAAACCAAAAAAAAGAAUUAUAAAAUUAACAUUUUAAAACCGUAUAAUUUUAAAACUUUAUCAUACUUUUCCGCAUUUUAAGAAAACCGCAUUUUAAGAAAAUGAAGAAAGGGUAGUACUUACGCACACGACGUGGGAGUAUAAAUAACUUCAAGUCAAGGCUGAUACUAUCGACGAAAAGCUCUAGAACGAGCACGACAAAAUCAAAUUUAUUUAUUUCAGAAUUAGCCAGAAAUCACCUGUACCAUCCAAGUUUCCAUAAGAAAACCGCAUUUUAAGAAAAUGAAGAAAGGGUAGUACUUACGCACACGACGUGGGAGUAUAAAUAACUUCAAGUCAAGGCUGAUACUAUCGACGAAAAGCUCUAGAACGAGCACGACAAAAUCAAAUUUGCGACUCCCAAGUUCCAUCAGACCUUUACGUUUGCAACAUGGUUACGUCGUUGCUUGCUUGCUUUGCUUGUGCCCUUUUUGAUUCGUUAAUUCGUUCCGGUUCCUUUGAAAGCUAAUCUGUCUGAAUUCUGCUGCAUUGAAUGCAAAGUCUAGAAGAGGUACGUUGGCAUCACUUAACAGUAACACGCGAGCACCUCUCCAGAGUCACACUGCAUACUCUAGAGUCUAGAGUAACAGUUUUUUUGGCAGCGGCUUUUGUUGGUUCCCUCGUACAUUCAAGAGGAUUUGGUUUUUGUUUAUCUAUUUAUUUAUUUAUUUCAGAAUUAGCCAGAAAUCACCUGUACCAUCCAAGUUUCCAUAUAUAUAUAAAGCGUGGAAUCGUCAUAAUCUCUGACACAACAGAGCAAAGCCAAAAACAAGAUUCAAUGGAGAACCUCGGAGAGUCUCACAUGCAACAAAAGAAAGGAAGAAGAUUGAUACUCUUUCCGCUGCCUUUUCAAGGCCACAUAAACCCAAUGCUUCAGCUUGCAAACAUUCUCUAUUCAAAAGGCUUUUCAAUCACCAUAAUCCACACCAAAUUCAACUCCCCGAAUCGCUUUUCAAUCACCAUAAUCCACACCAACUUCAACUCCCCGAAUCCCUCAAACUACCCUCACUUCACCUUCUGUUCAAUCCAAGACGGCUUGUCAGAAACUGAAGCCUCUACCACGGAUUUUGUGGCCCUUAUUUCAGUACUGCAUGUUAAGUGUGCUGCGCCAUUUCAGGAUUGCUUGGCCAAGUUGCUGUCAAAUGCUGAGGAGAAGGAAGAAGAGCCUAUUGCUUGCUUAAUCACAGAUGCUAGUUGGUUCUUCACUCAUGAUGUUGCUGAAAGCCUAAAGCUCCCCAGGAUUGUGUUAAGGAGUCUCAGUGUCUCUUCCUCUCUUGUUUAUGCUGCCUUACCAGUUCUAAGCCAAAAGGGUUACUUUCCCAUACAAGGUGCAAUUCAAUAACUUCUUGCUUCUAGUGUGUUUCAUUGAUAAUUUUUUCAGUAGGCAUUGUUUGAUUAUUAAAUAUUUGCCCUCGACAGAUCUUCCCUGAGGAUGAUUCAGAUUCUUGUUACAUAAAAAGUAGUUAAAUAAAAUCUGAAGGACACCAAUUCAUAAUAGUAAUGACUAAUGAUCACUGCACUUGGUAUCUAAAUUAUCUUCUUUUUUUAAUUAUUUUUGUUCUUCAUUGUUCAGAUUCUCAUGAUUUGGAAGCCCCAGUGCCAGAGCUUCCGCCUCUAAGAAUGAAAGACAUUCCUGUCAUUGAAACGCUUUAUCAAGAGACACUGCAUCAAUUUGCAGCAGAAGCAAUCAAUCAGAUGAAGGCUUCCUCAGGAUGCAUAUGGAAUUCAGUUCAGGAACUUGAACAAGAUUCUCUUGCUAAAUUUCACCGGGAGUUCCCCAUUCCAUCGUUCCCUAUAGGCCCGUUUCACAAGUACUAUCCAGCUUCUGCAAGUAGCUUAUUGUCACAAGACCGAAUCUGCAUUUCUAGGUUAGACAAACAGGCACCAAAAUCUGUAAUUUAUGUAAGUUUUGGAAGCAUUGCUGCCAUUGAUGAGACCAAAUUUUUGGAAGUAGCUUGGGGCCUAGCCAACAGCAAGGUGCCAUUCUUGUGGGUGGUACGGCCAGGACUAGUCCGCGGAGCAGAAUGGAUUGAGCUAUUACCACGAGGGUUCUUGGAAAUGUUAGACGGAAGAGGGCAUAUAGUGAAAUGGGCUCCCCAGCAAGAAGUGCUAGCUCAUCCUGCCACCGGAGCAUUUUGGACACAUUGUGGCUGGAAUUCGACGUUGGAAAGUAUGUGUGAAGGUGUCCCCAUGAUAUGCCAGCCUUGUCAUGGUGAGCAAAUGGUGAUUGCAAGAUAUGUUAGUGAUGUUUGGAAAGUUGGUUUGCAUUUGGAAAGGAAGCUGGAGAGAGGGGAGGUUGAAAGGGCAAUUAGAAGAGUAAUGGUGGAUGCCGAGGGGCGGGAAAUGAGGAACAGAGCUGAGAUUCUGAAGGAAAAACUGGAUCUUUGUACAAAGCAAGGCAGUUCUUCAUAUCAAUCUCUAGAAAACUUGAUUAGUUACAUUUUGUCAUACUAGAUUUUCCAAUACUUACAUCUAUCUUUCUAAUAAGGGCAGUAUGAAAAUUAAAACAUGGCAUGUCCCGGCCGUAUUCAAUGAGAUCUUUCUGAAUAUUUAUGUGAUCAGCGUUCCCCAACCCAAGGAGUGAAACUUGAAGGACUUAUCCAAAAUCCGUAGCAAGGCCAAGUUUAUAUUGUUUAAGGGGAUUUUUUUUUUUUUGCAAUAAUUGUGGGGUGUUGAAGAAAAAGCUGAUAAGAUAGUGACCUGCACUCUCUUCUAGUCUUCUUGCAUUAACAGUGUCCGAAGUUUGUGCAUUUGUUGGAUAUUUCUGAUCCUUACAGGAAAUCAAAAGUCGGAUUUGUAUUUGUGAGCUGAAUAAAGACGUGAGUUGGUUUGUGUUGCUCUCGUUGUUUAAUUUCCCCUUCUUCAUGUGAAGGAAUGCAUUAUAUUUCAUUUAGCAAUUUAUUAGAUUAUUAAUUAUUGUUGCUCGUUAAACUAAAGUUUCGUUCACCAAUAAAAUAUUUAAUUAACUCAUUGUACGUGUGUACGGCUAAUGAACAACAGUAUAAGUGAGAAAUUAAACAGAAAGCAGGAAGCAGAAAGAUUCAAUGGAGAAUCAAAUAGAGUCACAUACGCAACAAUAAGAACGGAAUAAGAGUGAUACUCUUCGCAUAAGAGUCCAUGCUUCAGCUUGCAAGCAUUCUCUAUUCCAGAGGCUUCUCAGCCUCUGUAAUUCAAUACCAGCUUCAACUCUCCAAAAUCUUCAAACUACGUACCCUCUCUUCUAGUGGAGCUGUGGAGUUCCCCAAAAAAAACCCAUAAUUUUCUAUCCGACCUUUUCCUUUGAUAUGAUUAUUAGUGGAGGAGAAAAAAUGAGUCAGAAACUUUAGAUUAGACAUCUGCAAUUCUGCAUGGGUAACGUAACGUCACUCAUUCAAUAGUUGGGCUAAAGUUUGGAUUCUUAUAAGAGGGCGAGAUAAGCCCAUUGGGCCUAUAAGCUGAUAACACCGCCGAAAAGCUAACUAAAACAGGAGCAGCAAAUCAAAUUAUUACUUCAGUUUUAUGGCUGCCACAUGGUUCUCUGCUUGUCUUGUCUAAUGGGCAACGCCAAUGCGUCGGUGCUCUGCCUUUGUGCCCCAUCUAAUAAUAUAUUAUGAUUAUGAUUAUUAUCUAAUUCAUGCAUAUCCUUUCUAAGUGAUUGGGUUGCCACUAUUUUACAUUACUUUUUUACAUCCUUUUUUUAUGCAUGUAUUGCUUUAUGCAAGUCUAAAAGAGGUUCUAUGACACAAUCCAUGGGUUUAUCCAAACUCAAAUCAAAUUAAAUGGUUUGGGUUGGGUAAAUCAUUAAAAUGGGUUAGAUGUGGGUUUUAUGUAAAAAACCAUUUCAUUAUGGUUUGGGUAUGGUUUACCCAUGGGUUAUGGAUAAAACCCCAACACUUAAAUUUUCAAAUGAAAUAAAUCACCAUUAAAUUUUUUACGGCUGAUCAAUUAUCAACAGUUUGAAAAUGAAAAUAACAGUAAAAAUAAAUUUAAAUUAAAUAAAUAUUGUUGUAAAUAACAUAAAUUUUUUUUCUUAUUUACAAAAAUAAUUCCUCCCACAUGGAAAGAUCAUCAUAGAAAGAGCAGGAGACUCUACUAAUGAUCAAUAAUAAUUCGGCUUGGAUUGGGUCCGAUAUGCUAGAUGUCGGCUAAUUUUUGGUUAAUAAUUGAAUGUAAUGCCCAUAUUAAGUAUUAAAACAAGAAAUAUAUAUUUUGAUAUGAGUAGAAAAAUUAAUAAUAAAAUUUUUUCUUGUAAUUAUUUAUUUUGUGAACAUUUUCUUAUAAUAAAUAUUUUGUAAUAUUUUAAAAUUAAAUGUAAAAAGUAUAGGUAAAAUAUUUUAUUAUUUAUCUUAUAAUAAAUUUUUAUUUGUCAAUCAAGUUUUCUUAUAAUAAUUUUUUUAUCAUUUUACUAAUAAUUUUCUUAUAUAUUUAUUAUAAGAAAAUUUUCAAAAAAUAAAUAAGUAUAAAAAAAUUUUAUUAUUAAUUUUUUUGUUCAUAUCAAAACAAAUAUUUCUUAUUUUUAAUGCUUUAUUUUUUAUUUAGUUUCUAUUCAUGUGAUUUAUUUAAUUUAUAAUAAAUGUAAAUAAAAGAGUAAUUAAAAAUUACCAAAACGAUAAAUAAAAACAAAUAUUGCAUAAUUAAAUAAAUAACAAGUGGCAAAAUUUAUUAUUAGAUUGUUAAUGUCAUGUUUGUGAAAGUUUAUUAUUAAAGUGUACGUUCUUAUUUAUUGAGAAAUAAUAAUUUUUGUGAUUAAACUUUAUUUUGAUUUUCUAGUAUUCUUUAAUUUAAGGAUUAAGUUAUUGUAAAAUUUAUAAUUUUUAUCCACUAUAUUUUUUAUAUUUUAAUAUCAAUUUAAUAAUUAAUAACAAUUAAUAAUUAUUAUAAUUUUGAUAUAAUUAAAUUUUAUUAAAAUAAAAAUUAUUUUGAUAAUAAAAUUCAAACCAAACCCAAACCAAACUCAAAUGGUUUGGUUUGGUUUGGGUUAAAAAUAUUUGGGUUGGUUUGGGUUGGAUCCAAAUUUUUAUGGUUUGGUUUGGGUUGACUUAAAAUCCAACCCAAACCAACCCAUGCCCACCCCUAGAUAGGGUCAUACAAACUCAAAAAAGUAAGCACCUCUUUCUUUUUAUAUGCAUUUAAUUUUUGACCUACUUGGUGUGCUAGUGUUAUGGUGUAAAGACAAGAUUGGAUCUGUAAUCUCAAAACAAAAUUUAGUGGGUGAUGUCAUUGUGCAAUAUUGUCACGAGCCUUCUGGUUGAUUCAUAAUGUCGGCAUUAUUUAUAGAACAUUAUAGAAUAUAAAAUAAAUUUACGAAAUUAUAUUUGAUAGUGAACUGUUUUAUGGGAUCCCCUAUCUUACAUGCAUGUAAGAUACAUGUCUCUCACAUGAAUAGUGUGUGGGUCCCACAUAUACACUAUUCAUGUGAGAGGCAUGUAUCUUACAUGCAUGUAAGAUAGAGUUUGCCCUGUUUUAUUGAUCUUUGUGCAUGAGACUCAGUUUUCUUAACACCAAGAGAUUCCAUUUGUCGGCUCAAUAAUUUAUGAAGGUGAGUUUGUAUAUUAUAUAGAUCAUGCGAAUUGCGACCGUCUCUUAAAAGGUGGCAUUUGUUGGAUUCCUUGUACAUUUUAGGUGUUUUUGAUAUACUAUAUUUUAUUAUAAUGUAAUAUAAUAUAAAGUUUUGUAAUGUUUGGUAUUAUAUCGUACAUUAUUAUAUAUAAUAUUAUUUAUAUUAAAUUAAUUUUUUAUAAUUAUAAAUAUCUUAAAAAUUUUAUAGUUUAUAUUUAUUAUUUAAAUUUAUAAAUAUAAAUAAAAUUAUUCACCAACGAUCACCGUGAACCAUUGCAAAUUGCUUCGGGCAUUCAUAUUUUGAUAAUUUUUUUUAAACUUCAAUUCUAGUGCUAUUAGAAUCCUUGUCAGCGGAUCGGAUCUAUACAACGAGUGAGCAAAAGCUUUGAUUCUGCUAUUACAUAUGCUAUCGAGUAAUUCCAAUGAUAAAGACUCCAUUGGUACCAAAAUUGAUGUCAAAGAAUGCUAAAAUAAUAUUAUUGGUGGUGGAUUGUGGUGGUCAGCAUUCGAAUUUAUUGUUUUAUAAACUAAUAAUAAAUAAAUUAAAUAUAUUGUAAUUGAUUAAAUAAUUCUACGUUUUAAAAGUCAGCAAUAUAUCUUAGUCACGGUGGGAUUGUAUAUCAUUACUUUAUGGGCCCAGCAUUACUUUGAUAUUGCGGCAAAAGAUGCAUUAAGGCCUUCGGUUAAUGUUGCUCAAUGCAAAUUUAAUAUAGAAAGCAGAGUCAUUUGAAUCUUUCAUUAAACACAACAUAGCAAGCCAAAAGAAGAAAGAUUCAAUGGAUGUACUUGGAGAUUCUCACAUUCAUCAAAAGAAAGGAAGAAGACUGAUACUCUUCCCACUGCCUUUACAAGGCCACAUAAACCCAAUGCUUCAGCUUGCAAACAUUCUCUAUUCAAAAGGCUUUUCAAUCACCAUAAUCCACACCAACUUCAACUCCCCGAAUCCCUCAAACUACCCUCACUUCACCUUCUGUUCAAUCGAAGACAGCUUGUCAGAAACUGAAGCCUCUACCGCGGAUUUAGUGGCUCUUCUUUCACUACUUAAUGUUCAGUGUGUUGUGCCAUUUCGGAAUU
rnacentral:lncRNA from 1 species